AAACCAGCACCUCAAGUGGUCAGGAUGAUUAUUGGGCCUAAAGCAUCCGUAGCCUGCUUUGUCAGUUUUCGGUUAAAUCCAUACGCUCAACGUAUGGGCUGCCGGAAAUACUGCAUAGCUAGGGAGUGGGAGAGGUAGACGGUACUCGGGAGGAAGGGGUAAAAUCCUUUGAUCUCUCGAUGACCACCUGUGGCGAAGGCGGUCUACCAGAACACGUCCGACGGUGAGGGAUGAAAGCUGGGGGAGCAAACCGGAUUAGAAACCCGGGUAGUCC
rnacentral:rRNA from 1 species